rnacentral:tRNA from 1 species
GAGGGCAUAGCUCAACGGCAGAGCGCUUGCUUAGCAUGCACGGGGUCCUGGGUUCAAUCUCCAGUACCUCCA